CCUACGGGUGGCUGCAGUGGGGAAUAUUGCACAAUGGGGGAAACCCUGAUGCAGCAACGCCGCGUGAGCGAAGAAGGCCUUCGGGUCGUAAAGCUCUGUCCUAAGGGAAGAAGGAUGACGGUACCUUAGGAGGAAGCCCCGGCUAACUACGUGCCAGCAGCCGCGGUAAUACGUAGGGGGCAAGCGUUAUCCGGAAUCACUGGGCGUAAAGGGUGCGUAGGCGGCCGAUAAAGUCUGGGGUGAAAGGCUACGGCUCAACCGUGGUAAGCCUUGGAAACUUAUGGGCUUGAGUGCAGGAGAGGUAAGUGGAAUUCCUAGUGUAGCGGUGAAAUGCGUAGAUAUUAGGAGGAACACCAGUGGCGAAGGCGACUUACUGGACUGUAACUGACGCUGAGGCACGAAAGCGUGGGGAGCAAACAGGAUUAGAUACCCAUGUAGUC
rnacentral:rRNA from 1 species